GAUGAACGCUAGCUACAGGCUUAACACAUGCAAGUCGAGGGGUAACGAGAGGAAAGCUUGCUUUCCUUGUCGACGACCGGCGCACGGGUGAGUAACGCGUAUCCAACCUGCCCCCAACUAGGGAAUAACCUUGCGAAAGUAAGACUAAUACCCUAUAAUUUCCUCAGAUGACAUCUGACGAGGAAUAAAGAUUUAUCGGUUGUGGAUGGGGAUGCGUUGGAUUAGCUUGUUGGCGGGGUAACGGCCCGCCAAGGCAACGACCAGUAGGGGUUCUGAGAGGAAGGUCCCCCACAUUGGAACUGAGACACGGUCCAAACUCCUACGGGAGGCAGCAGUGAGGAAUAUUGGUCAAUGGGCGGAAGCCUGAACCAGCCAAGUAGCGUGCAGGAUGACGGCCCUAUGGGUUGUAAACUGCUUUUAUACAGGAAUAAAGUUAGCCACGUGUGGUUAUUUGUAGGUACUGUAUGAAUAAGGACCGGCUAAUUCCGUGCCAGCCGCCGCGGUAA
rnacentral:rRNA from 1 species